UACAGAGGGUGCGAGCGUUAAUCGGAAUUACUGGGCGUAAAGCGCACGUAGUCGGCUUGUUAAGUCGGGUGUGAAAUCCCCGGGCUCAACCUGGGAACUGCAUCCGAAACUGACUUGCUAGAGUAUGGGAGAGGGAAGCGGAAUUUCUGGUGUAGCAGUGAAAUGCGUAGAUAUCAGAAGGAACAUCAGUGGCGAAUGCGACUUCCUGGACCAAUACUGACGAUCAGGUGCGAAAGCGUUGGGAGCAUGCAGG
rnacentral:rRNA from 1 species